rnacentral:misc_RNA from 1 species
GAAAGAGAACAUUUGAAUUCGCCAUUGUUCGACGGUUGCGCGUAGCGGUGACAUUGUUUUUGCCCGGAGUUUAUUUGUUUUUACAUAACGUAUAAUUUAACGGUUUGACAAACCGAGGCAAAAUCACAACCUGAUUCAAAAUGUCCGUUGACUCGUGUGUCGCUACAUUGGAGAGCAGAAGAAGAUCCAUGGAAACGGCAUGCAAUAUCGUCUCCCAGCUGUUGUUAUUUAUUAACAGUACGGGGCAGGGAAUAUGUUAAUAAUGUAACAGGCCAGGAGUUAUAUGAAGUUUCUGCUGAAGCAUCAACACAAAUUACUGAUAAGAAUCCUGAGAGAUCCAAUAGUGAAAAUGAUACUAAUGAAACGACUCUCCUUCAGGAACUUGCUGCUGCAAAGGAAAAAAGUCGAACAUUGAAAAAUGCUCGUUUGUGUAAAGCUUGCGCGGAACGAGAAGUCACAGUUGUAUUCCUACCUUGUGGACAUGCAGCAACCUGCGAUUACUGUUCACAAGCUUUCUCACAAUGCAUAAUUUGCCAAGGAGAAAUUAAAGCCACUAGCUGUAUCUUUUUGACGUAAUGCAUGCACAUAUGUAUAUAUAAUUAUGUACAUAUAUAAAUUAGCUUAUCCAUAUUUCUCAUAUAAAUAUACUUUACAAUUUUUAAAAAUUGACGUACACACAUUAAAAUUUGUGAUACCAUGUAUCGUUAAAUUAAGUGUAUAUAUCAUGAAAUGAUAAAAUAUUUUAUUUCUAGUACUAUUUCUACAGUAAUUAAUAAAUAGAAACAUAAUAUUAAACUGAUGAAAUACAUUUUUUCUUUAUAUUUUUGGCUUUUUUUGUAUUUUAAGUGUAUUUUACUUAAUUAAACAUUAAUAAUAAUUAUGUAUCUUAUUUUAUCCGAAUAAAGUUAACUUUUUCCGCAUCUAACUAAUUGUUUUUUGUUUUACUCCCCUUAUUGUCAUUAAAAUGACGCUGUUUUAUAUAUAUAAAUAUAUAUAUAAUACAGUUUCAUUUCAUUUAUUAUUAUAUAUAUAUAUAUAUAUUAUAUAGUUUCAUUUUAUAUAUAUAUAUCUUUACCAGUAUACGCAUAUUUAUGUUUCUAAAUUCUGUAUGAUUAAGUUAAAAUUGCAUAUAAUCGUUCUAUAAUUCAUUAAACAGGAUCAAAACAAUAUUGUGGAGACAAUGGCAAAAAUAAAUCAGUUGGAUCAAUUGGAGAAUAGUGAAUUGAGUGAUUGGCUAAAAGAGCGUUCAAUUCCAUAUAAUUCUAAAGCAAAAAAGUGUACUUAUUAAUAAAUUAUUAUCGCACAUCAAGAAUACAACAAUUUUAUAGCCAUUUCGUAUGUAAAUAUAUCAUAUGUGUUCUUAAGUGUACUAAGUUAGUAUAAAA